rnacentral:rRNA from 1 species
AGAGUGAACGCUGGCGGUAGGCCUAACACAUGCAAGUCGAACGGCAGCACAGGAGAGCUUGCUCUCUGGGUGGCGAGUGGCGGACGGGUGAGGAAUACAUCGGAAUCUACCUUUUCGUGGGGGAUAACGUAGGGAAACUUACGCUAAUACCGCAUAAGACCUUCGGGUGAAAGCCGGGGACCUUCGGGCCUGGCGCGGAUAGAUGAGCCGAUGUCGGAUUAGCUUGUUGGCGGGGUAAAAGCCCACCAAGGCGACGAUCCGUAGCUGGUCUGAGAGGAUGAUCAGCCACACUGGAACUGAGACACGGCCCAGACUCCUACGGGAGGCAGCAGUGGGAAUAUUGGACAAUGGGCGCAAGCCUGAUCCAGCCAUACCGCGUGGGUGAAGAAGGCCUUGGUUGUAAAGCCCGUUUUGUGGGAAGAAUCCGUGACCGUUAAUAACCAGUAGGAUGACGUACCGAAAGAAUAAGCACCGCUAACUCGUGCCAGCAGCCGC